rnacentral:tRNA from 1 species
AGGGGUGUAAUUUAUCAGUAGAAUGCUUGCCUAGUAUGUGCAAAACUCUGGGUUAAAUCCCCAGUACCUCUA